rnacentral:rRNA from 1 species
AACGAACGUUAGCGGCGCGCCUAACACAUGCAAGUCGAACGCGACAGGGGCAACUCUGUUGAGUGGCGCACGGGUGAGUAACACGUAGGUAAUCUCCCCCCGAGUGGUGGAUAACCUUCCGAAAGGAGGGCUAAUACAGCAUAAGACCACGGCUUCGAAAGGAGCUGAGGUCAAAGCGGAGGAUCGCAAGACUUCGCGCUUGGGGAUGAGCCUGCGGCCCAUCAGGUAGUUGGCGGGGUAACAGCCCACCAAGCCUAAGACGGGUAGCUGGUCUGAGAGGAUGAUCAGCCACACUGGAACGAGGACACGGUCCAGACUCCUACGGGAGGCAGCAGUGGGGAAUCUGGCGCAAUGGACGAAAGUCUGACGCAGCGACGCCGCGUGGGUGAUGAAGGCCUUCGGGUUGUAAAGCCCUGUGGGGAGGGACGAAUAAGUUUCAGCUAAUACCUGAAGCGAUGACGGUACCUCCUUAGCAAGCACCGGCUAACUCUGUGCCAGCAGCCGCGGUAA